CUUGCGGGCGGGAGCGCGUGUGAGCGUGUGCCUGCGGGUGCGCACACGCGUGUUCGUGCCUCCCCGCGUGCACACGCGUGUGCCCCGGGCUGGAUGCUCGCAGGGGUCUCCAGGCCACAGCCCUGUGGCCCCAGCAGCGAGAGCAGCCCCUGAGUCCCGCUUGAGGCUCAGUCGCACUGAGGGACGGCUAUUUUUGUGGACUAGCAU
rnacentral:lncRNA from 1 species